rnacentral:tRNA from 1 species
GGCGUGGGCGAGAAGGUGGCCGACCUGCGCCGCUUCGAACCGCGCGAGUUCGUCCGCGCCCUCUUCGACUGAGGGCCCGCGUCAC